rnacentral:lncRNA from 1 species
CACACACAAAAAAAAGCACCUUCAUACAAAGAAAAAUCAGGCCUGGAACAGAUCAGCCUCCCUGCAGGAAUCAACUGAGAAAGAAUUAAUGACACUUUCGAAAGCUUUAAAUUCCAAUGAGAAAUUGAAGCCCUGGGAAUAUCUGCCUCAACAUUUUAUAGGGUGUAUGCCUGCAGUCAGUGAGAAGCACGAGGAUAUUCCGUUCCUUAUAUGUUCUGAGACAGCUGAUAACAGAAUGAAGGGGGAUUUUCUUAAAGCAUCCAUGACCCUAACAAGGAAACUGGAAGUUGCAUUCUAUUGAUCCAAGGCUAAGAAGGAAUUAAGUUGCCAUCAGAUCAAAUUCCGGCAAAGCGUCUGGAAGAGACCUGGUUGAAGAUAAUAUUGAUGAGUCUUAA